GCCUACGGGAGGCAGCAGUGAGGAAUAUUGGUCAAUGGUCGGGAGACUGAACCAGCCAAGCCGCGUGAGGGAGGAAGGUACAGAGUAUCGUAAACCUCUUUUGUCAGGGAACAAAGGCGGGGACGUGUCCCCGGAUGAGUGUACCUGAAGAAAAAGCAUCGGCUAACUCCGUGCCAGCAGCCGCGGUAAUACGGAGGAUGCGAGCGUUAUCCGGAUUUAUUGGGUUUAAAGGGUGCGCAGGCGGUCUGUUAAGUCAGCGGUCAAAGCCCGGGGCGCAACCCCGGCCCGCCGUUGAAACUGGCAGU
rnacentral:rRNA from 1 species